rnacentral:rRNA from 1 species
GGUGAAGCAGAGCUUGCUCUGUGGAUCAGUGAGCGAACGGGUGAGUAACACGUGAGCAACCUGCCCCUGACUCUGGGAUAAGCGCUGGAAACGGCGUCUAAUACUGGAUACGAACAAGAAUCGCAUGGUUACUUGUUGGAAAGAUUUAUCGGUUGGGGAUGGGCUCGCGGCCUAUCAGCUUGUUGGUGAGGUAAUGGCUCACCAAGGCGUCGACGGGUAGCCGGCCUGAGAGGGUGACCGGCCACACUGGGACUGAGACACGGCCCAGACUCCUACGGGAGGCAGCAGUGGGGAAUAUUGCACAAUGGGCGAAAGCCUGAUGCAGCAACGCCGCGUGAGGGAUGACGGCCUUCGGGUUGUAAACCUCUUUUAGCAGGGAAGAAGCGAGAGUGACGGUACCUGCAGAAAAAGCACCGGCUAACUACGUGCCAGCAGCCGCGGUAAUACGUAGGGUGCAAGCGUUAUCCGGAAUUAUUGGGCGUAAAGAGCUCGUAGGCGGUUUGUCGCGUCUGCUGUGAAAUCUGGGGGCUCAACCCCCAGCCUGCAGUGGGUACGGGCAGACUAGAGUGCGGUAGGGGAGAUUGGAAUUCCUGGUGUAGCGGUGGAAUGCGCAGAUAUCAGGAGGAACACC